CUUUUAUCAAUUAACCAGAAAUCUGGGUCUAUCAGCAGAAUUCAUCCAUCCAUCUUUGCUGUGAAACUGGAAACAGAUUUGUUUAAAUUAUUGGUCUUUUAAUUUGCCUCGUUUUGUCUCCUGUCUGAGAAGCCUGUUUAUUUUCAGGCAGCUGCAUAUGUUGGCAUGAUUGAUGAGAUCUGCUACAGUCAAGCAAGCAGCCCUGGGUGACCAGUUUACCCUUCCCCGCUAGGGUUCCAGCUGCCAGUUGCCCCCAUUCUGUGACAGCUUCUCCUUCUUCUCACCUUGUCAUCGAGCCAAGAUUGUACACUGUAGGAGAACAGUUUGCAGCAUCUUGAGAAUGGUGUAGUGGAGAGAAAGUUGACUUUGAAUUUCAGGUACCAAAAAAAGUCUUU
rnacentral:lncRNA from 1 species